UACCUGCAGCUCUAGUGGUGACCGCUAUUAUUGGGCCUAAAACGUCCGUAGCCGGCUUAUUAAAUGCCUGGGUAAAUCGUACAGCUUAACCGUACGAAUUCCGGGUAGACUGAUAGGCUUGGGACCGGGAGAAGCUAGAGGUACUCCUGGGGUAGAGGUGAAAUUCUGUAAUCCUAGGGGGACCACCAGUGGCGAAGGCGUCUAGCUAGAACGGGUUUGACGGUGAGGGACGAAGCCCUGGGGAGCAAACGGGAUUAGAUACCCCGGUAGUCCAGGGUGUAAACGCUGCUUGCUUGAUGUUAGUCGGGCUCCGAGCCCGAUUAGUGUCGGAGAGAAGUUGUUAAGCAAGCUGCCUGGGAAGUACGGCCGCAAGACUGAAACUUAAAGGAAUUGGCGGGGGAGCACAGCAACGGGUGGAGCGUGCGGUUU
rnacentral:rRNA from 1 species